rnacentral:snRNA from 1 species
AUACCUUUCUCGGCAUUUUGGCUAAGAAAGUGUAGUAUCUCUUCUUAUCAGUUUAAUAUCUGAUAUGUGGGCCAUGUGUCCACGGAUAUUAAAUUAAUAUUUUGUGGGGGAGAGCCCAUCACGGUAGCUCGCUACUGGAGCCCUCAUGUGUCGCGGCCCGGUGCACCCCAA